rnacentral:rRNA from 1 species
UACGAAGGGGACUAGCGUUGUUCGGAAUCACUGGGCGUAAAGCGCACGUAGGCGGAUUUGUAAGUCAGGGGUGAAAUCCCGGGGCUCAACCUCGGAACUGCCUUUGAUACUGCGAAUCUUGAGUCCGAUAGAGGUGGGUGGAAUUCCUAGUGUAGAGGUGAAAUGCGUAGAGAUCCGGAGGAACACCAAAGGCGAAGGCAGUGUCCUGGGGAGUACCUGACGCUCAGGUGCGAAAGCCAGGGGAGCGAACGGG